UGGGGAAUAUUGGACAAUGGGGGCAACCCUGAUCCAGCAAUUCUGUGUGCACGAAGAAGGUUUUCGGAUCGUAAAGUGCUUUCAGCAGGGAGGAAGGAAGUGACUGUACCUGCAGAAGAAGCGACGGCUAAAUACGUGCCAGCAGCCGCGGUAAUACGUAUGUCGCGAGCGUUAUCCGGAAUUAUUGGGCAUAAAGGGCAUCUAGGCGGCCGGGUAAGUCUGGGGUGAAAACUGCUGGCUCAACCAGCAGCCUGCCUUGGAAACUACCCGGCUUGAGUGCUGGAGAGGUGGACGGAACUGCACGAGUAGAGGUGAAAUUCGUAGAUAUGUGCAGGAAUGCCGAUGAUGAAGAUAGUUCACUGGACGGCAACUGACGCUGAAGUGCGAAAGCUAGGGGAGCGAACA
rnacentral:rRNA from 1 species